rnacentral:lncRNA from 1 species
UUUUUUUCUCCAUUAAAUAUUAGCUAUAUAGAUAACUGUUUAGAAAAAAAACAUAUAUGCAUUUAUUUGUGGUAAGCAACACGAGUACGGUGCCACACCGUAGAUAAGUUAUUCUAGGUUUAAUUUGUCUGCUCCGCGCCUAGCAAGCAGCAAGUGAACGAUAUCCGAUGAGGCGAUCAUCUCCUCCUCCACCUGCUUGUUUGUUUGCUUCAUGGCCGACUCCACCCUCUGCAUGUACAGGAGGCUCUCGCACUUCUCCGGGUACCAGUGGAGGGUACUCGAGGCGCGGGCCGCGGCGUCGUAGCUCGCAGCGGUCACCAAGGCUAUCGUCUUCGUCGUCUCGCGGAGGCACUCCGAGUACAGGGCACGGCACUGCGCCAGGAGGUCACGCUCCAGCGGCGUCGGAGCCCGGCCGCCCAGGACCGUCGUGCGCCACAGGGCGUCCCGCGUGGAGUUCCUGGCAACCGUCAGCGCGAUGACGGCGAGCUGCUGGACCGACUCGGCGGCGUCGCUCCGUCUGUCGGGCGCGAGGAUGGAGAUGCAGAGGCGCUCGUGGGCCGUCCUGCGGCAGGUCAGGGAGACGAGGGAGACGCCGGCGGACGAUAGCGGGACGAAGGAGGCCACGAUGGCCGCGCAGAGCAGCGCCACCGCCGAGAUGCUCGUUGCCAUCGUCAUUGCCGUGUUGGGAUUGGAAGAUUCGAGACUUAGUCUGUGUGCAGAUGCUGCGUAUGGCCGUACGUGUCGUGCUGCCUGUUAUAUACAACAGCUAGGAUUGGGAGUUACUAAGUACUACAGCAGCAUUCAUUAUCAUUGAUCAGUAUUCAUGGGUGGAGCUAAACUGAAAUGGGUUUCUCGAGAACGUCGGUUGAGCUAACGCACGCAAGAACAAAUAGAGAGAAAUUUCAUUGCCGUUACUAAUUAACGCUGUCCAAAGUGCAGUCCCAACGUUAGAAAGAAUAUUAAUUGAGUGCCACCAAUUCUGCGUGCUGCAAAGACUAAACCAAUAUUGUUAAAUGGAAUAGAGUUCAGGAACCAGAGAAUAAAGCGUUAGAAAGAAUAUUAAUUGAGUGCCACCAAUUCUGCGUGCUGCAAAGACUAAACCAAUCUUGUUAAAUGGAAUAGAGUUCAGGAACCAGAGAAUAAAGCUUCCUUCAUACAGUAUUUCUCUACUACUACAUAAUGUAUUUUCUCUAUUUCUAUCUCUAUUAUAUUAAAGGAUCAGAGGUUUCCAGGUUUCCACGUUGUUGCGCUCUCCCGCAUUUAAAUAGUAAAAAUGUUAAAACUGUGUAUAAAUGGAGAUUCAAAUUAGGCCCAGUUUGUUUCGUUGAAUUGAAUUUCAUUUUAAUAAUUAUAAUUUGACAAAAUUAAUUAAGUUUAUAUAUUUAUAUAUGUAAUAUAUUUGUAUAUUAUCUUAAAUCAUAUGACAGAGAUAGUUGUAUACUACAUUCAUGUUAUAACGAAGUAAGUAGAAGAGUGUGCUAUAAGUUGUACAUCGGAAAAAUAACAUGUAAAUCUAUAAAAUCAAUUUCCAUCUCUCACCUUAUGAAUUUGAGAUAGGCUUAUAUGAUAACUUUGGAAAGUGGUGGAAUGUCGCAUUCUAAAAAAUAGUCUAUUCCAAUAGUAAGAUUCCAAUUCCUCAAAAUGAAAGAAAACAAACGGGUAUGGUUGUUGGCUCUAAACCCACAAUCAUACCCACCUAGCCAACAUAACAUACAUAUUUUUGUGUUUUAUAUUAUAUAAUUAAGCAUAAAUGAAAAUUGUAACAACGUCAAGAGAUAAAAUUAAGACGAAAACGUUAAACAACAAUGUUGAUCAACAAAUUCCGCAACAAGAUAACCAACACUACCGGAACAAAGUUCUUUGUCGAGUGCCCUAGGCACUCAGCAAAGGUUCGGUAACACUCGGCAAACGCUUUUGCCGAGUGUGGUACUCAGUAAAAAGGACUCAGUGAACAAUGCAUCGACAACGUUCUCUUUGCCGUUCGCUUUGUGCCGAGUGUCGUAAGCUGGCACUCGGCAAAGAAGGUCCCUUUGUCAAGUGACUGCGUGUCUGGCACUCGGUAAAGGGAGCUCCAGUGCCUCGCCCGCAGUCGAGUGCUCUGGCUGGCACUCAAAAACAGAGCUUCUUUGUCUAGUGCCAGGACCAUAGCACUCGGUAAAGACGCUUUCCCGGUUCUCAUGUGUGCUCUCUUUGUCGAGUGCUAUGGUCAUUGCACUCGGCAAGACACUCUUUGCUGAGUGUUAAACUCGACAAAGUGAAAAAAGAAGAAGCAAAAAGUGUUGUGUUAUUAAGAAUACUAAUUCUGAACUGAAAUGUUCUAGUGGUCAGGAUAUACAUUAUGCAAGGCACACAUACCAUUAGAGUCAGCAACCCGAGCCAAUAGAAGAGCAUCAGAGUUUGCUAAAUCUGCAUUUGCUGGCGAAAUAGCUAAGAUGAUACAUGUCCUUUGUUUGAUGUAUGAUAUUAUCAUUAUCCUUAUUCUGACUUCAAUAUCAGUUGGCUGGUCACCAACUGGCACUUAAGCAAUUACAGGCAAACCGGCCAAAGUAAAGUUAACAACUUAUGGAGAAAAAAUCGUCAAUUAUAUCUGGUUAUCCGAUACACCUUUGUUACCAUCCUGCAUAGAUGCAGAUAGUCCUUUAACUAAAGUCCACACUAACUAAAGAAAAUGUCACAAUUGAAGUGAAACAAAAUACCAAACACUCAUAUAGGAACGGAAGGCGCGGACGUCAGGAGCAAGUGGCACACCGACUUUUGGACAGGGCGAGCGAACGCGGCCCUGCAUCCUGUUGAGAAAUGGUGGCGCUGGGAAGGAGGGGCGAACGGCGGAAGCAAGUAGCACGCCAACGGUCGGACGGAACAAGCAAGGCAAGGGGGAACUGGCUGUGCAGGGCACAGAUGGGAAAGUGAAUGGGAGAUGGGAUAACAGAGAGAGAGAGAGAGAGGAAAAUAAAUGAGUGUUACCUCCAGAAGGAGGAAGUCUGAAUAGGAAACGCUUGAGGAAGAAAGAAGCGACGACGACACUGAGGUCAAGUGUCGCCGUCUGCAGCCUGGGAGGUGUCGCCUUCACGUGACCUCUUCUCACUUUUUCUCCCACGACAGAGCUUUCUAGAGGACUCGAGUAUACGACUAAAAAAGGUAGUCGAAGAGUUGGAGUAGCCAGAUAAGACGCAACAAUAAGCAACAGCUGGACGACAGGAUCUCAUUACGGAUAAACGAUCUGACGGCUCUGGAUAUUUAGACGACGUGUCCACCUUAGUAUGGGAGGAACAGGUCCUGGUUUAAUAUAUAAGAAGAAAAAAUGGUUGCAGGUCAUGUCUUGCCUUCCUCACGGAGCCUAAUUCAACACAAUGCUUUCUCUUCGGCCAAGAAGUUAUCUGCAUGGCAAUGGCUAUUCGCCCUGCUACAUCAAAUCGUUUGGUUUUCCACAAGAUGUGAGCCAGAUAAUCAAAAGUUAACGUUUCAGGUUAAAAAAAUGCCAUUCAUACAAUUUUAUAUCUCGGCAAUUUCUACAGUUUUGAUGUAAAGUUUGUCUUCACUUCAAACUUUUGAUGCGUAGCCUACUCGUCACGUGCUGUUCCCAUGCACCCAUUCAUGUCUCUCAUUUCAAAUUUCACUCUUUAAACAAUACCGUUUGCAGUGUAAAACAGUGUUUUUGCACAGUCAUAUACACGAUCUGCUGGUCAUAGCCUUAGAUCAAGCAUAAUAACAGGCUAGAAUAAGGCUAAAUGCUGAAUCGAAAGAGAGAGAAGAGGAGAUAGAAGAAGCGAUAUGUAAACUUAUAGUUGGCUUAGACAUGAGAAUCAAAAAACCUUAUAAGAGAGACAAGUGGGGUAUACAUUAGUAAUAAAGAUAUAACUAUUAUACAGGUGGGCUAAAAGGUUGGUUGUAAUGAUCUUUGCAGCCAUUGAGCAUUGAAAAUGAUAGUACAGACGACCAGGUCUCAGGGUUGGACUGUCCACAGUCCGGACUGUCCGCCAUAGCGGCGCGGACCCUCUGUGUGCGUGCAGAAUCAGUUAGGGUUCCAGAUUUCUUGCGGGAUUUAUUAGCAAAACAUGUGAGAUAAGCUCUAGAACCGCCUUGUAACGGAUCCAAACCUUCCCUUUAUAUAGAUGAAGGAGUACGGCCGAUUGAAGCCCCCAUAAUCGAUCCAAUCAAAUCUACCUAUCAAAUUUAUCUUAUUUGCACUGUUCUUUCCAUUCCUUAGUAGUAGGAGUAAUCUAGCCUUAGUCUAGGCCUAGUAUUAGUCUUUCUCGACCUCUUUCUCCGCCUCUGUUCGACUCUAUGUUGACUAGAGGCGUCUUGGGCGGCUCAUCGACCCCAAGACAACCCUUGGAACUCUCCUCCCCGAUAGGGCCCCUCUCGGGAGGCAAGAUCCUGGUUCUUCACGAAGAAGAAGACCUUCUACGCUAUCGCGAACCGUCCGGACCCAGGUGUAGACCGUGUCCGGGAAGAGUGCAGAGGAGGAGUCGUUCCUGCAGCGAGGUUGCAGACCAUUUGACCCCAUGUCGCGGACCCUCCGCUCUCCCGCAGAGAGCACCGCCAUGUGGUUCUUCCCAGUGUUUGUGCCAGAUCGACACUAAUAAACUUUUUAGCGACUCUGCUGGGAACAAGAGUGUUUAGAUCUAUCAAAAAUCAGCCCCAAGAUGGCCGAUUCUAAAGAUCACACCAACGUAUCCACCAUCAACAUCAUCAAGCCACCCAUGGAGGCACUCCUUGCUGAUGAUCAGUAGCCCUUCGAUGACCUCAUAAGGCACGAUGAGGAGGAGGUGCUACGACAGCUCGCCGAACGGCGCGACAAGGAGGAUGAGGAGGCGUCGAACGACGCAAAAGGCAAAGUAAAAGUACAUAUCAUACUUCACGGUGGACCGCCACCAGAACAUCAUUCAUCGAGACUCGAGAGGAGAUCGAUAUGGAAUCUCUUAUACCUUCGCCUCAGGCUCCCAUUCUAAGUAUUCCAGAUCCUUUUAAGGCUUUCAUAGAACACUUUUUAUUAUAAGCCUGAGAUGCGAUGUUAGAGAGUGAAAUAUUGUAGAUGGGCUGGAAAGAUGAAAAAGGUAGAGCAGCGAAUUUUUCUCUCCAUUAAAUAAUAGUUAUAUAGAUAACUGUUUAGAAAAAAACCAUAUUAUGUAUUUAUUUGUGGUAAGCAACGCGAGCACGGUGCAACACCGUAGGUAAGGGGGUGUUUGGUUUUAGGGACUAAACUUUAGUCCCUUCAAUUUUAGUUCCUAAAUUAUUAAAUAUGGAAACUAAAAUAAAGUUUUAGUUUCUAUAUUUGAUAAUUUAAGUACUAAAAUGGUAUAAAAUAGAGGGACUAAAAAUUAGUCCCUCUAAACCAAACACCCCUAAGUUAUUCUAGGUUUAAUUUGUCUGCUCCGCGCCUAGCAAGCAGCAAGUGAACGAUAUCCGAUGAGGCGAUCAUCUCUUCCUCCACCUGCUUGUUUGUUUGCUUCAUGGCCGACUCCACCCUCUGCAUGUACAGGAGGCUCUCGCACUUCUCCGGGUACCAGUGGAGGGCGCUCGAGGCGCGGGCCGCGGCAUCGUAGCUCGCCGCGGUCACCAAGGCUAUCGUCUUCGUCGUCUCGCGGAGGCACUCCGAGUACAGGGCACGGCACUGCGCCAGGAGGUCACGCUCCAGCGGCGUCGGAGCCCGGCCGCCCAGGACCGUCGUGCGCCACAGGGCGUCCCGCGUGGAGUUCCUGGCAACCGUCAGCGCGAUGACGGCGAGCUGCUGGACCGACUCGGCGGCGUCGCUCCGUUUGUCGGGCGCGAGGAUGGAGAUGCAGAGGCGCUCGUGGGCCGUCCUCCGGCAGGUCAGGGAGACGAGGGAGACGCCGGCGGAUGAUAGCGGGAGGAAGGAGGCCACGAUGGCCGCGCAGAGCAGCGCCACCGCCGAGAUGCUCGUUGCCAUCGUCAUUGCCGUGUUGGGAUUGGAAGAUUCGAGA